GGACAGGUGGCCGAGCGGUUGAAGGCGUCAGUCUCGAAAACUGAUAUAUCCUUGCGGGUAUCGAGGGUUCGAAUCCCUCUCUGUCCGCCA
rnacentral:tRNA from 1 species